GCCGCCAGGCGCACGGCGCCCAGAGCGGCGGGGCGGGGCGGGGCGGGGCUGGGCCGCAGGGAAGAGUCGCGCAGGGGGCGCUCCGCGGGCCGGGCCCCUGGUCACGUGGUUCACCCCUCCCCACCCCGGCGUCCCACCCAUCCCGAAACAGUUCGUGAUUGUCUACCUGAAGGUGCCCCUGGACCCGCCUCCACCUCUAGGCCUUGAGGGAAUCCCUCUCUAACACUUGAAUAAGCCAAUAAACAAGAAGCAAAAAGAAGACCUUGAAAAUCAAAGGAGCCACAGCUAAAACAAAAAUUUUAAAUGCCAGGCCUAUGUGGUUUUCCAGCAAGAGGUGAGCAGUCCAAGCCUGGCAGGCAGUUAUGCCCUACCGUCUGGCUUCUGUUUCUGGGUCCCAGGGAACUGCUUCAGUGGCCACAAUGUCCAGCCAAUGAGAAGGAACAAGAGAAAGUACAGGGCAAGCAAUUUCCUUUUCAAAGGACAGCACCUGGAGGUUGUGACCUUGGGUGCUUAACCUCACCCAAGGACAGUAGAGAGUUUGAGAACAAGUCCUGAGAGGCUUUAACAGCUAAAGGUCAGUUAGAGGAGAAGAAGUUAAAGAGAAAAGACGAGUGGCUAAAGAGCGAGGAGGAAGUGGAAAACGCCAAAGUUGCAGACAAGUUAAAAACAAAAUAGGGGUUUGAGAAGAAACAAUAAAAUAGCUACGUAUGCCCAAAUAUGAGGGCCCUUCCCCCACAAUUAUCCCUCAGAAGCCCCCUUAUAUCUGGUAUGUCUCCCACAGUACAGCACACUCUUACAAACAAAGAACCAUGAGGACAAGCCAUGUUAACCUGAAAUACUGACGCCAGCCCAGUUUGGGAUUCCCAUGGAAGUUGUUCAAAGGAAUCAGAAAAAAGAUGUAGGUAGUGAAAAUGAAUACUGAUUUAGUAUUAAUUCCUGAGUUUGUCCCUUCAGUUUCAAGAAACUGUAUAGUAUCGUAGAAAAUGGGUUUUCCUGGCUGUGUCCCAAACAAGAUGGCAGGCAGUAGGGAUACGAGCAUGGGCAGGAAGGGGACUUGAAGGAGGAGCCGUGGGGACAAGUGGUCAGCUUUCUGUUUCUGCAUCUGAGGCCCAGGUAGCUUGAAUACAGGAAGUAAGAGAGAGCAUAUGGUAAAUGCCACAAGCACUCACGAGCUAGGCUCUAAAACAACACUUUUUUUCAGUUCAGGAGGGUGGCCCUAUUUUGUGCCGGGGCACUAGGGUAUUGUGACAGCUGGAAGUCAUGUGACAGUCUCCCAAAAGGCAUUCUUGGAAAGGAGACAAAGGUUUCAUUCAGAUGAAAACGACAACAAAAAUACAUCCUUAUGCAGAAAAGUUAAGUCACGUUACUUGUCACAUCUCCCCCAAAUCACCCACUGAACCAUGUAACUCCAGCAAAAAGGGUGCAGGACUAGAAAGGUUGGGAAAGGCAGUAUCAUGCAGUCUUUUGACCCUCCCCCUGCUGCCUAAGUAUGGGCCUUGAACCUGGAAGGCUUCCCUACUGAGGAAAGAGUCCUCACAGCCCGUGCUGGCCUCAUCACCUUUGUGUGGGAAUGUCUUUCCCUGUUUCAGACUCAACGUGUACUCCUUUGCUCUGCACAAGCGUGUGUAUAAGAUGACACCUGGCCAACCCCAUAUUAUAUGUGUCCACUGCAGCGAGAUGGGGUCCUUCUGUAGCACAAGAGGCGUGCGUGCAGGUCAC